rnacentral:tRNA from 1 species
GUCCCCUUCGUCUAGAGGCCUAGGACACCGCCCUUUCACGGCGGUAGCAGGGGUUCGAAUCCCCUAGGGGACGCCA